AUUGAACGCUGGCGGCAUGCUUUACACAUGCAAGUCGAACGGUAACAGGGUGCUUGCACCGCUGACGAGCGGCGAACGGGUGAGUAAUACAUCGGAAUGUAGCCAGUAAAGGGGGAUAACGCUUCGAAAGGAGUGCUAAUACCGCAUACGCCCUGAAGGGGAAAGUGGGGGACCGCAAGGCCUCACGUUAUUGGAGCAGCCGAUGGCUGAUUAGCUAGUUGGUGAGGUAAAGGCUCACCAAGGCGACGAUCAGUAGCGGGUCUUAGAGGACGAUCCGCCAAACUGGAACUGAGACACGGUCCAGACUCCUACGGGAGGCAGCAGUGGGGAAUCUUGGACAAUGGGCGAAAGCCUGAUCCAGCAAUGCCGCGUGCGUGAAGAAGGCCUUCGGGUUGUAAAGCGCUUUUGUCUGGGAGCAAAUCCUGGCCUCUAAUACAGGUCGGGGAUGAGAGUACCAGAAGAAUAAGGACCGGCUAACUACGUGCCAGCCGCCGCAGUAACAC
rnacentral:rRNA from 1 species